UACGGGGGGGGCAAGCGUUGUUCGGAAUUACUGGGCGUAAAGGGCGCGUAGGCGGCCUACUAAGUCGGACGUGAAAUCCCUGGCUCAACCGGGGAACUGCGUCCGAUACUGGUGGGCUUGAAUCCGGGAGAGGGAUGUGGAAUUCCAGGUGUAGCGGUGAAAUGCGUAGAUAUCUGGAGGAACACCGGUGGCGAAGGCGGCAUCCUGGACCGGUAUUGACGCUGAUGCGCGAAAGCCAGGGGAGCAAACGGG
rnacentral:rRNA from 1 species